AUGUUAUUAGUCUCUAUUUCCACUGAUGGGUUUUAUACUUGUUUUCAAUAUUCAUUUACUGGCUUAAAACUUUCUAUAAGAUGCAAAAAGAAAAUUUAAGGGAAGGGAAGCUAAUAUUCUUAAGUAAUUAUAUCACUAAAAAUACUUAUGAAAAGAGACAUACAUUAAGGUUAUAUCUCCACAAGAAAAGUCAGUAUCAUACUGGAAAACUUAUUUCUAGGUAAAGAGGAAAAAACUUAAAAGACAAUGUUAGCCAUGUUGUAUUAUGAGACACUAUAAUCACCAUGGAUUAUAAAAAGUACAGUUAAAAAAAGUUAAUAACCUCAAGGUAACUAUGCUAAUUGGAAAAUUAAGAAUUUUGUUUUCAAUAUGUAUUUUAUUUCUUGAAUUUCCCUUAUAUAGUUAUACAUGAACCGUUUUUCCUCCUAUGUUAGAAACAAAGGAUUCUUCUCUAUCACAAUUAUAACUAAACUUUUUAACAUUUGAAUCUGAGUAAGAAAAAAAAAUACACCUUAACUAUUUGUUUAAGAUGCUCUCUAUUUGUAAAAGCAGAAAGUAUGAAUACUUUAAAUUUUCUAGUACCUUCUGAUCCUCAGGCAGUACCUACUUCAACACUGUCCUUAUUCACAGUACAGAUUCAUUAACUCGGGUCCCAAUCCCCUGCAACCACACCCAAAGAACCUGGCUUCUCUGAGAUUCAAAACUUGGCCCAAGGCUUCACAUUAAAUGAUCUCUGGCUCUCUCCUUAGGUGGGAACACUGCUGAGGAACUUCACUAGACCUACCCUGUAACAAAUGCAUGUAUCUAAUCUAGUACUCAGUCUUACUGGUACCUGGCAAAUCUGUCCAGUGAUGUCCUGGAGUCAGUCAGUACCAGCCUAGAAAGUCGACUGUCAAAUAUUCAGGAAUCUUGUGAGCUGGUUGGUGGCUUGAAAUCAGCUUCAUGGGAAUAUUUACACCACAGAAAUUACAGCAAACAUUACCAAUAGGGACUUCUUGCUCUUCUCUCAAACCUGGUUUACCAGUAUAACACUCUUGAAUUCUUUGGUUCACUUUCACUCUUAUCGUUUCAACUCUUGUCUAUUUUUCCUAAAAAUUCCAACUUUCUGCUUUCAGUAUACCAAAACCCAUUUUGAAAAGACAGACAUUAGAAUGCCUCAGUCAACUCUCCCAUUUUAUCAGGAAAUUGAGAACCAGAAAACUAAGUGACUUGCCCAAGGUUUCCACAGCUGAUCAAUGGCUGUGUCAGGACUUAAUUCUAACUCACCUGGUUUUCAAUUGUGUUCCAUCCACUCUAUUAUUAGAUAAAGUACCUCAAUCUACUUCACUGUCAUACAAAAUAAAAUUCUCCAUUGACUUUUCUCCCACUUUGAUUUUCUCUAUAGCUAUCCUUCUAAUAACCAUUUCUCUAAGGAAAAGCCAAUUUUAUUUCCUUUUGAGACUAAUCUUUCUGUAUCCCUGCUUUCUGAAGUACGAUCUCCUCUAUCUUUACUCUUUUAUUCUCAACCUAAAUCCUUUCUUUUUUUUUAACAGAUGCAGAAGACACUGUUUAAAGAAUUUCUCCUUUGAUUUCUAUCCUAUUAGGCCCACCAACUAUCUUCUAAUCAUGAAAUGUAGCAGAAUUUUCAUUAGCUUAGUAUGCUUGGCCAUUCUGUAGCUUGACACUGACUUCCUCUUAUUAUCUCCCUUCCUUCCUUCAUUCUUGUUGCCAGGCAUUUUCCGCCAGGCAUUUUCCUUUUGCAUCCUAAAUGUGAGGAGAUCCAAGAGCCAGUCUUCAUCCUGACUCUUUUUUCAUCGGAGAAGGAAUCCCUUGACAUAGCCUCUCUGAUCUAGCCUACUAGGCCCUACAACCUCUACAACAGCUCUCAUUUUUGGCCUUUAUCAAAUCUGUCCCAUACAGUCUCAUUGUGGCACCAGGCCUUUCUGACCUCAAGUCUGGAUUUCUGCAAUAGGCCAGAGAGUAAAUAUUCUAGACUUCGCAGGCCAUGUGGUGUCUGUGGCAAGUACUCAACCCUGUCAUUGUGGCACAGCCAUGGACGGUAUGCAAACAAGUGAGCACAGCUGUGUUCCAAUAGAACUUUAUUUACAAAACAGGCGCCAGGCCAACUCAUUCCUCUUUCUCACCAUCAGAUUGUAAUUACAGUCUUUUGAUAGAAACAAAAUCCCUUAAUGUCACUUUACUGAAGAGCACACAUCUGAAC